UACAGAGGGUGCGAGCGUUGUUCGGAAUUAUUGGGCGUAAAGGGCGCGUAGGCGGUGCGGUAAGUCACCUGUGAAAUCUCCUGGCUCAACUGGGAGCUUGCAGGCGAAACUGCCGUGCUGGAGUGUGGGAGAGGUGCGUGGAAUUCCUGGUGUAGCGGUGAAAUGCGUAGAUAUCAGGAGGAACACCAGUGGCGAAGGCGGCUAUCUGGACGGUUUCUGACGCUAAGACGCGAAAGCGUGGGGAGCAAACAGG
rnacentral:rRNA from 1 species